AUGAAGCAAUAGUAGGACUGAUGAUUUGAUGAAAAGGCAAAGACAAUGCCUUUCUAACUGGGACACAACAUUAUAUCAGGAUCAUUGCAUUGAAAAUGCAUCGUCUCUCCAAUGAUUGCUGGAUAGAAAUGGUGUCGAAAGGUGUCUACAUUUUCUGCAGUCCAUUGAAAUUCGAUCUCAUUGCAACUUUUUAACUCUUCUAAUGUUGUGUUCAAGAGCUGGUUGUAUGAUCUGUUUCAAAUAAAAUAUGGAAUAAUU